GGGCUUGUCGUAUAAUGGUUAUUAUGUUCGGCUGGCAGUCGAGAGAUCCGAGUUAGAUUCUCGGCAGGUCCA
rnacentral:tRNA from 1 species